UACGUAGGGUGCAAGCGUUGUCCGGAAUUAUUGGGCGUAAAGAGCGUGUAGGCGGCCCGGUUAGUCCGCUGUGAAAGUCCAGGGCUCAACCCUGGAAUGCCGGUGGAUACUGUCGGGCUAGAGUCCGGAAGGGGCGAGUGGAAUUCCGGGUGUAGCGGUGGAAUGCGUAGAGAUCCGGAAGAACACCGGUGGCGAAGGCGGCCUGCUGGGCAGUUGCUGACACUGAUGCGCGACAGCGUGGGGAGCAAACAGG
rnacentral:rRNA from 1 species